rnacentral:tRNA from 1 species
GCCCCUGUGGCGCAAUCGGUUAGCGCACGGUACUUAUAAUGCCGAGGUUGUGAGUUCGAGCCUCACCAGGGGCA